GGUUUAUGUUGGGCAGUUGAUCCGCAUUAUGCGGGUAGGAAAGUCCGAACACCACAGAGCAUGGUGCCGGGUAACACCCGGGGUCUCUUUGUUGGGACACGGAAAGUGCCACAGAAAAAAUACCGCCCCAAUUUAGUUUGGGGUAAGGGUGAAAAGGCGAGGUAAAAGCUCACCGCGUUAAUAGUAAUAUUAACGGUCCCGUAAGGGAUCCCGCUUUGCGGGACAGGGCAAACCCCACCUGGUGCAAGGUCAAGCAGAAGGUUCCGUUUUCGGACGGAGGAGUUGCUCGCUUCAAAUCCUUCGGGUAGACCGCAAGAUUACAGCAGUAAUGCUGUGGCUAGAUAAAUAAUUGCCAUCCCGCCUAAAGCGGGAUUACAGAAUUCGGCUUAUAGAUAUAAGCCAUCU
rfam:Melioribacter sp. GWF2_38_21 gwf2_scaffold_26, whole genome shotgun sequence.